rnacentral:lncRNA from 1 species
GCUAUGGUUUUAUAUGUGAACAUUGACUUAGUAUGUUAUAUUGUAAUGGUAAAUUUCCUUAUCUAUGGUAACCCUUAGGAAUACUUAGGUGUAUAUGAAGAGAUUGUAUGGGCGGUCACUUCAUGUUUCACUUAAGUGUGGCUUUGGGUAACUUGAGAUAGAGGUCAAGAAAUGAUGAAAAGGCUUACUUGUCAAUUAUGUUCAUGUGUUGUACAUUGGUACUAGUUGUGCAUGAUGGCUUGUGAUAUGAAGCAUGAUAAGUGGUAAGUUCACAUUUGGUGGCCUUAGGAUGAUGCUUUAGUGUGGAUGGUGGUAUGGGACGCUAUCCAUACAUUGCACAAAGUGUUGUCCAAGGGUUACUUGAGGUGGAUGGUUUAAGGUGAAGGAAUGGGUUAUGUGUGGAGUAUGUGCUAAAGUGGUUAAUGACUUGUAUGUUGGUUAUGGUUGGAUAUUGUGACUCUUAUACUUGUAUUUUUUUUCAUGAAGUUUUACCAAAUGGCAUAAAAGCAUGUUUCUCCAAUAAACGUCCCUUUUAGCAUGUUUUUGCAUGGCUUCCAUACUUAGUACUUAAUUGUGCUAACCCCUUCCUUUCCCUUUUUGACUAAAGUGUAGGGAUUUGGAGAUGGUGACAUGUCAUGGCUAUUUGGUAGGUUUCUAAGUGUUGAAGAUGAAGACUUGGUGAGUCCUCAUAGAUUCGAGGACAAAACCCAAUAUGUUCUUUUAUGUCCUUUUUAGUAUUGUUUGAGUUGUGUACGGGAUUAGUCCCGAAUUUUGUACUCUAAAGUAUUAGAUGGUUUUGAGACAUCAUGUAUAAAGUCUAGAAAGUCUUCCGCUUGCU